rnacentral:lncRNA from 1 species
CACACCCUGCCUUAUUAGUCCAUAACCGUCAAUAAUCCCUUCCUAGCUCUGAUUAUCUUCUUUCUCUCCAAAAUUCCCAAAAUUCCUCCAUAAAUAAUUCACCAUGAGAAAUCCUCAAGAUUAUCCAGGCACUCCCCCACCUGUAUCCCCUAACACAUCUUCAUCUACUCCUCCUAGUGUUUCCAAAAACCUAGGUUUUGU